ensembl:ncRNA
UAAAGCUAGAUUACCAAAGCAU